GAUGAACGCUGGCGGCGUGCUUAACACAUGCAAGUCGAACGGGAAUUAUUUUAUUGAAACUUCGGUCGAUUUAAUUUAAUUCUAGUGGCGGACGGGUGAGUAACGCGUGGGUAACCUGCCUUAUACAGGGGGAUAACAGUCAGAAAUGGCUGCUAAUACCGCAUAAGCGCACAGAGCUGCAUGGCUCAGUGUGAAAAACUCCGGUGGUAUAAGAUGGACCCGCGUUGGAUUAGCUGGUUGGUGGGGUAACGGCCCACCAAGGCGACGAUCCAUAGCCGGCCUGAGAGGGUGAACGGCCACAUUGGGACUGAGACACGGCCCAGACUCCUACGGGAGGCAGCAGUGGGGAAUAUUGCACAAUGGGGGAAACCCUGAUGCAGCGACGCCGCGUGAAGGAAGAAGUAUCUCGGUAUGUAGACUUCUAUCAGCAGGGAAGAUAGUGACGGUACCUGACUAAGAAGCCCCGGCUAACUACGU
rnacentral:rRNA from 1 species